rnacentral:rRNA from 1 species
AUUGAAACGCUGGCGGCAGGCCUAACACAUGCAAGUCGAGCGGAAACGAGUUAUCUUAACCUUUCGGGGAACGAUAACGGCGUCGAGCGGCGGACGGGUGAGUAAUGCCUAGGAAAUUGCCCUGAUGUGGGGGAUAACCAUUGGAAACGAUGGCUAAUACCGCAUGAUGCCUACGGGCCAAAGAGGGGGACCUUCGGGCCUCUCGCGUCAGGAUAUGCCUAGGUGGGAUUAGCUAGUUGGUGAGGUAAGGGCUCACCAAGGCAACGAUCCCUAGCUGGUCUGAGAGGAUGAUCAGCCACACUGGAACUGAGACACGGUCCAGACUCCUACGGGAGGCAGCAGUGGGGAAUAUUGCACAAUGGGCGCAAGCCUGAUGCAGCCAUGCCGCGUGUGUGAAGAAGGCCUUCGGGUUGUAAAGCACUUUCAGUCGUGAGGAAGGUAGUGUGUUUAAUAGAUGCAUUAUUUGACGUUAGCGACAGAAGAAGCACCGGCUAACUCCGUGCCAGCAGCCGCGGUAAUACGGAGGGUGCGAGCGUUAAUCGGAAUUACUGGGCGUAAAGCGCAUGCAGGUGGUUUGUUAAGUCAGAUGUGAAAGCCCGGGGCUCGACCUCGGAAUAGCAUUUGAAACUGGCAGACUAGAGUACUGUAGAGGGGGGUAGAAUUUCAGGUGUAGCGGUGAAAUGCGUAGAGAUCUGAAGGAAUACCGGUGGCGAAGGCGGCCCCCUGGACAGAUACUGACACUCAGAUGCGAAAGCGUGGGGAGCAAACAGG